UACGGAGGGUGCGAGCGUUGUCCGGAAUCACUGGGCGUAAAGGGCGCGUAGGUGGCGCGAGGAGUCUGUGGUGAAAGCCCGAGGCUCAACUUCGGGUCGGCCGCGGAUACUCUCGUGCUGGAGGGUGGUAGAGGCCAAUGGAAUUCCGGGUGUAGCGGUGGAAUGCGUAGAGACCCGGAGGAACACCAGUGGCGAAGGCGGCGUCCUGGCCUGCGACUGACGCUGUGGCGCGAAAGCUAGGGGAGCGAACGGG
rnacentral:rRNA from 1 species